rnacentral:rRNA from 1 species
UACGUAGGGGGCUAGCGUUAUCCGGAAUCAUUGGGCGUAAAGAGCGCGUAGGCGGCCAGAUAAGUCCGGUGUGAAAACUCGAGGCUCAACCUCGAGAUGUCGGCGGAAACCAUCUGGCUAGAGUCCGGAAGAGGAGAGUGGAAUUCCUGGUGUAGCGGUGAAAUGCGCAGAUAUCAGGAAGAACACCCGUGGCGAAGGCGGCUCUCUGGGACGGUACUGACGCUGAGACGCGAAAGCGUGGGGAGCGAACAGG